UUGGCUCAGAACGAACGCUGGCGGCAGGCCUAACACAUGCAAGUCGAGCGGUAGCACAGAGAGCUUGCUCUCGGGUGACGAGCGGCGGACGGGUGAGUAAUGUCUGGGAAACUGCCUGAUGGAGGGGGAUAACUACUGGAAACGGUAGCUAAUACCGCAUAACGUCGCAAGACCAAAGUGGGGGACCUUCGGGCCUCAUGCCAUCAGAUGUGCCCAGAUGGGAUUAGCUGGUAGGUGGGGUAACGGCUCACCUAGGCGACGAUCCCUAGCUGGUCUGAGAGGAUGACCAGCCACACUGGAACUGAGACACGGUCC
rnacentral:rRNA from 1 species